rnacentral:rRNA from 1 species
CCUACGGGCGGCAGCAGUGGGGAAUAUUGCACAAUGGGCGCAAGCCUGAUGCAGCCAUGCCGCGUGUGUGAAGAAGGCCUUCGGGUUGUAAAGCACUUUCAGCGGGGAGGAAGGCGGUGAGGUUAAUAACCUCAUCGAUUGACGUUACCCGCAGAAGAAGCACCGGCUAACUCCGUGCCAGCAUCCGCGGUAAUACGGAGGGUGCAAGCGUUAAUCGGAAUUACUGGGCGUAAAGCGCACGCAGGCGGUCUGUCAAGUCGGAUGUGAAAUCCCCGGGCUCAACCUGGGAACUGCAUUCGAAACUGGCAGGCUAGAGUCUUGUAGAGGGGGGUAGAAUUCCAGGUGUAGCGGUGAAAUGCGUAGAGGUCUGGAGGAAUACCGGUGGCGAAGGCGGCCCCCUGGACAAAGACUGACGCUCAGGUGCGAAAGCGUGGGGAGCAAACAGGAUUAGAUACCCUUGUAGUC